CAAUUCAAUAUGUUUGAUUCAUAAAUUAGUUUCGUUUGGAGGCUAUUUGAAUUUCAUAUUUGAGUUAGUAGUUCAGAAAAAAACUUUCAAUUCCAACUUGUGAGUCAAGAAAAUGUUCUCAAUUGAAAAUAGUAUUGAUAGGGAAAACGAAUCCAUAUAUUAUCUAUUUUCUUUCAAAACAAAAGAGUAGCCUGUAAUAGUUAUCUUUUUUUUUUUUUUAAUAAGGUAAGAAAGAGUUUGUGAAUACAUGACAGUACCGUAAACUUUGAAGGCCAGAAGACCACAAUUUUCCCGUCAUGGCUCCCUCCUGUGUAUCUCAGUCGAGGAAGAAAGCACUUGAGCACAAUCCAAGCAUAAACAAGAAAUAUCCUUCUUUCCUUUCGAGAAUUAUUAAAUUUAUGAGGAUCUUCAUUGUGAUAAUUUUCAUCGCAGAACAGCUCCAUCAAGUCACAGCAGGUUAUGAUCCAAUUGUGGAUAGAGUGUUGCCAAGCCCACCCCCUCCAGUUCACAACAAAAUGCAGCAUAAUCUUCCCAAGCCGGGGGAAUCACCCUCCCCUUCACCGCCUUCCUAAAGAUUACUUAUAUUUCUCUCUCUCAUUCAAUUGUUUCUAAGUUGACAAGACAGUGGACACUACCAGUUGCCGAUAGAAUGCAAUUGCAGCCACACAUCGGCACAUGAAGGUUUUGGAACAGUAUGGCACACGAAGGUUUUGGAACAUGUAUGAGCCAUCAGCCAUGUGAAUGGUUUUGUCUUUUUUCAAAAAAAAUAAAUAAAU